GCAUGGUCCCGACCUUAUUAUCAGCUCUAACUCAACUUACACAUGCAAGUCUCCGCAACCCAGUGAAUAUGCCCUCAAUCCCCCCACCCGGGGACGAGGAGCGGGCAUCAGGCACAAACAUUAGCCCAAGACGCCUAGCCAAGCCACACCCCCAAGGGAAUUCAGCAGUGAUAAACAUUAAGCCAUAAGUGAAAACUUGACUCAGUUAGUGUUAAGAGGGCCGGUAAAACUCGUGCCAGCCACCGCGGUUAGACGAGAGGCCCUAGUUGAUAUUACAACGGCGUAAAGGGUGGUUAAGGAUAAACAAAAAUAAAGUCAAAUGGCCCCUUGGCCGUCAUACGCUUCUAGGAGUCCGAAGCCCUAAUACGAAAGUAACUUUAAUAAACCCACCUGACCCCACGAAAGCUGAGAAACAAACUGGGAUUAGAUACCCCACUAUGCUCAGCCGUAAACUCAGACAUCCAGCUACAAUUAGAUGUCCGCCAGGGUACUACGAGCAUUAGCUUAAAACCCAAAGGACCUGACGGUGUCUCAGACCCCCCUAGAGGAGCCUGUUCUAGAACCGAUAACCCCCGUUCAACCUCACCACUUCUAGCCACCCCAGCCUAUAUACCGCCGUCGUCAGCUUACCCUGUGAAGGUAAUAAAAGUAAGCAAAAUGGGCACAACCCAAAACGUCAGGUCGAGGUGUAGCGCAUGAAGUGGGAAGAAAUGGGCUACAUUUUCUAAUAUAGAAUAUUACGAACAUGCACCAUGAAACAAUGCUUGAAGGAGGAUUUAGUAGUAAAAGGGAAAUAGAGUGUCCCUUUGAACCCGGCUCUGAGACGCGUACACACCGCCCGUCACUCUCCCCUGUCAAAACGCACCAAAAAUACAUAAUACAACAGCACUGACAAGGGGAGGCAAGUCGUAACACGGUAAGUGUACCGGAAGGUGCACUUGGAUCAAAC
rnacentral:ncRNA from 1 species